GUACUAACCGUUCUAAUGAGCAGGGAAACUAAUCGAGCAAAAUAGCUGGCUACGAAGAUUUGAACUUUGACGUGAAUGUGAUGGAGCCAGGCAUGGGAAAAGAAGGCACGCGGACAGGUCAGUGUCAAAGUAGCCGCAGAGGUCCUGAGAUCACAUUCCAGCUGGCUCAGAGCAAGACGGCCCCCUGCAGGAGAAUGUGACUCAUCCUGUGAGCCGAUGAAACUGUUUGGUAACCAGACGGGCUCAGAGCGCGGAGCUGCCCAGCCAAACUGUCCUUGGACCUGAGGAAAGACAAACAGGUGUUACCUGCAUUUAUCUGAUCCUGUUCUUGGAAGUUUAAACACGACCAACUCAAAAAACCCAAAACAAUGACCCCUUUUUUUAAAUUAUAUUAAAGUGGGACAAUAUAUGACAAAACCUUUGAUGUAGCCAAUCAGACAAAAGGAGGAGACGUUGUCAUGUCGGAUUUGAGAUCGAUUCAGCCACAUUGUGUGUUUUUUCUUUAUAUAGUGUAAUGUGGAAUUAUAGUAUUAAAAUGAUGAAUGUA